ACCCUAAACGUUGAACUGUCAAAUCUUCCUACCAUGCCGGUGGCAGUUCGUCUGAUAGAGUUCCUAACAAUCGCGAGUCUGUUUGUUCUUGCUUCAACCGGAGCGUUCAUUUUGUAUUUCGCGGACAAGCUUUUCCUACUCCUUGCAGCGAUCCUGUCGCCGUUGUUGGAGUUGAUGCAGCUCAUACUGAUGGCCCUGGAAUAUGUGUUUUACUGGACUACAAAACAUUUAAUUAGCAUUUUAGUUGCCAUUGGAUCGUGUGGAACGACGGUUGCAGUAAAUGAAAACUGAAUAGAAUAACAAUGUGAACAAAAUACAUGAAGCUCAAAUUUACAUAGUGCUAAGAAAUUUUCAAUGGAAUAAACUAAAUUCUCUAACA